rfam:Gossypium hirsutum cultivar TM-1 chromosome 16, whole genome shotgun sequence
UUUUAAAAAUUCUAUUAAUUUGUACAGUUAAAAAUUGAUGUGAUUGACAAAAUAAUCGGACAAUGAUAUGUGAUGUGCCACGUGUACCUUAUUUUGACAUACAUAAAUCAAUUUUUAACAAAAAAAAUAGAUGAAACUUUUAACA